GACGAACCACCCAAACGUUAUUCGGAAUUACUGGGCUUAAAGGGUGCGUAGGCGGCGCGGAAAGUCAGGUGUGAAAUCCCUCGGCUCAACCGAGGAACUGCGCUUGAAACUACCGUGCUCGAGUGAGACAGAGGUAAGCGGAACUUCGGGUGGAGCGGUGAAAUGCGUUGAUAUCCGAAGGAACACCGGUGGCGAAAGCGGCUUACUGGGUCUUUUCUGACGCUGAUGCACGAAAGCUAGGGGAGCAAACGGG
rnacentral:rRNA from 1 species